rnacentral:rRNA from 1 species
UACAGAGGUCUCAAGCGUUGUUCGGAUUCAUUGGGCGUAAAGGGUGCGUAGGCGGCCCUGUAAGUCGGGUGUGAAAUUUCGGAGCUUAACUCCGAAACUGCAUUCGAUACUGCGGUGCUAGAGGACUGGAGAGGCGACUGGAAUUCAUGGUGUAGCAGUGAAAUGCGUAGAGAUCAUGAGGAAGACCAGUGGCGAAGGCGGGUCUCUGGACAGUACCUGACACUGAGGCACGAAGGCCAGGGGAGCAAACGGG